GUCCUUUGUUCUCUUGAAAUACAAGUGGUCACUUGGUCUCGGGUGAGAUACUUGGGAGCUGUGCAGGAUGAUCUCAGGUAGACUCUCAGCUGUGGAAUUCCCUAUCAGCAGAGACAGGGCAGGAACCAAGGUGAACACACCCGACUGACCAAGAACUCUGAACUCUCCGACCAGGAACUGUCAACAGGAAACUAGAGCCACUGCUCAGGAACUUGCAGUCAGGAACAGCUCCGCCAAGGACAGGAUCAGGAAUGAUGGUUUAUUUGAAGAAAUGUAUUGAUUGAAGUUCCUGCAUAUAGAGAAUUUUAGAACCACAACUCCGUCACAUCUUUCUGACAAAUAUCAAGAAUUGGCUCUAUAGAUAAGUAAUUUUUCUUCUGUUUCCAACCUAGGAGGCCUUCUAAAGUAUAAAUAAUGGUACCCUGUCUCUUAAGUGUAAAUAGUUCUUCUGCUUAACAUGUUACAUCUCAGUAACAGCUCUGUUCUACAUAAUCAUUAUUCCCUACAGGUUUAAAAACAGUGCCAAAAACAAACAAAAACCUACCUAAUGGAUUAGAACCCUCUAAGCAGAGCAGGGAAACAGAAAUUGUUACAAUUUACUUAAAAACAUUUUUACUUCUGGCAAAAUGUACCAAUAUUCCAUCAAAAAGAUGAGAAAAGUAAAAAAAAAAAAAAAGUAAGUUGCACAAAUAAGACAUUAUUAUAAAAAGUUGGCAGAGUAGCUGAGGAAUAAUGAAAGAUAGAAAGGCAUAGAUGAUGGGGAAAAGAGUAAAUGGUUAUUUUAGAAAAAUUGGUUGAUAUAGCUUGAGGUAGGAAUGCAAAACCGAAUUGUAGGUUGUAAACACUGAUGUUCAGUAUACUGAUUUGGGAGGCAAAAGGAUAGAAAUUGCUGAAGGAAUUCAAAUUACAUGGUGUUCCUGCCAUUUGAAUAAGGGAGAUACCUAAUAAGAGAACAGUGCUGAGGUAGUUUAACAAAAAGCCUUGAUUAAUAAUCAUCAGUCUCCUUCACUUGAUAUUUCAUUUUUCUAAUUAUAUGUAUUUGAGACCAGCAUGUAACCUUCCACUUUAGCCGUGGACUGCUCAGAUGUACAGUAGAUUGUUAAUUCAAACUGAGCCAGAAAUAGGUACAUUUUGUUUUAGUUGUGUGUGUAUAUAUUGCUAGAAGAAUACUUCCUAAAGAUUAUACAGUAGCUUCCUGCAGUCUUGGUUUGAGAAAAUUAUCCAGUCUUAAAAAAAUUGUCUUAUGCUUUUAUAUGUCAGUUUCACAACAUUUAUGGAAAUUUCAUUUAAGUAAUUAAACUAAUUAAAGAUCAGAGUGGCUAGUGAUUCUGGGUGUCUCACUUUUUGGGUGCCCAACUUGAGACAUCUUAAAAGGGGAUGAAUAUUCAGAAGUGGCUCAACAGCUACACUCUGAAAAUCCCCUUUAAGGUGUCUGCAGUCAGACACCCAAAAUCACUUGUCAUUUUUGAAAAUCUCUGUUGUGUUUUAUUGUUGUUACCGUA